AGACCGAUCCCCUUAUUAUACUGGGUUCGAGCACGGGGGCAACCUCACUCGCGAUCGAGCUAGUUUUUGAACGUGACAGCAUCUUUGACAGUGUGUUUCAGGUUUGUUUUGGAAUGUCUUCUGCUUAGUUCAAGUAGUUUGCGAUGGCUUCGAGCGGUGCUAAACCUCCUGCUGGUAGGAGCAGAGUCUCCGAGAGAGACAUGGACUGUGAUGCCGCUGCAGGAUUUUUUCAAGGCGCGGGAGGGAACGAUCUCGGGCCACAAACAGGAGUUACUCCAGAGAGCCAUCUUCUAUGAAGGUAACCGUGGUGCUGCCAAGUCACCAAGUCGCGAUCAGCAGCCCUGAAGUGGAAAAAUCGAUUUUCCAACGAUCUGGUUGGACAUCAGCCACUAAAGUACUUCUGAUUUGCCUGUAGUGACAACAGCAGCCAUCCUUGGACACCUUGCAAAGACAGGAAAAGCCACUGGUGGAAGCGACUGCUAUGAGGUGACGAUAGCAGUGCAGUGGUGAUCGCUGUUUUGUCAAGUCGAAGGGCUAGCCAACCCAGAGGAAGCAUAAAAAAAACGAUGAGCAGUGCGUGUUAUUUGUUGAGCGUGAAGAGCUAGAGGAGGACAGUGCAAACACAUGGACGGAGUGGAUGGUGUUUGAAGAACAGAGUGCUGUGUGCCGGCUGGUGGUGAUAGUGGUCUUUGUCAGCAUGUAUUCGUGCUGCUUCUUGUGCUGGAACACUUCUCGCCCAGGAAGGCAGAUUGCGUGCUCCCUUGCCCUCGGUUGGCUAUGGGGCAUUUGUUCCAGGAACAUUACCCCAGAGCCAAUGAUGAGUCGUACCUUUGAAAAGUCGAAGCUUGCUGUUAAUCGCAAGCGUAGCGCAGUGGAUUGCUCCCUCUUCGAAGCACGAGGGCCAAAGCUUGCCGCUGUCUGCAGCAAAGUGUGUGUGUGGUUCUUUCGAACCUAUGUAUUCGUGCUGCUUCUUGUGCUGGAACACUUCUCGCCCAGGAAGGCAGAUUGCGUGCUCCCUUGCCCUCGGUUGGCUAUGGGGCAUUUGUUCCAGGAACAUUACCCCAGAGCCAAUGAUGAGUCGUACCUUUGAAAAGUCGAAGCUUGCUGUUAAUCGCAAGCGUAGCGCAGUGGAUUGCUCCCUCUUCGAAGCACGAGGGCCAAAGCUUGCCGCUGUCUGCAGCAAAGUGUGUGUGUGGUUCUUUCGAACCUAACUAUUUUCUAGUAUAUUUAACAUCCUCAACCCGCCACCACCGUGCGCUCUUGGCCGAACUAAUGCACGAAGCAUAAACACACCAGCACAGCAAGGACACUUCCGUUGACAGAUAUUGUUUACGCCUCUAGACCGCUGUUUCUUUUCUUCGAGCUCAUCGUUAGAGGAGGAUAGCAGGAUACUAAUGAUGAUAUAAUAGAAGAUGAUAGACGGUUUAUGGUCCGAUAUUGAUGAUUGAAGAUCUAAGAAAGCAAUGACAGUGAUUGCGAAAUGGAUAAUAUUAUCAUGAUUAUAUGCCAGUCUGGUAAUGCGUUGUACUAGUGGACAGUAUUGAAAUCAUCACUGCAUUCGAUGCAAAUAUUGGUAUACCUUUGGUUUCAGUAUUGGAAAAAAAGAGUAAGAGAACCUGGUUGAUUUGGUUGCAUCUGCGACUGGCUACCGGGUGUUGUGA